CAGGCCCUAUUAGCACAACACCAGAGAUGCCGACGGCAGCGGACAUGCAACUAGCAGCGGCUGUCGGAAGGUCUAAAGGUGCAAUUUUUUAUAAAGCCAUCACGACACUGCUGCUGCCAUUAGUGAUGCUCGUGGUGAUAUCGUAAAUAGACAAAGUGGUAAAUGGCUAAGAGUUCGAACUUAUAAAGUUUCAAGUGAGGCUUCAACCUCUAGUCAAACCCAAAGUGAAAACGCGUGGUCUCCCGCAAGGGACAAUUUUAGGCACACAAUCUAAUGUCCUGCAAACCAAAUAGCUUCAAUGUGUAUUCUUUAAACAUUACCAAAUUCUAUGAACUUUAAGUCGUAGCUAUCGAAUUGUACAGAUAUGUAUGAAUUUCAUAUAAAAAUAUUUUUCUUAAAUUAUAAAAACCAAUAGUUAAUGAUUUGUAAAUAAUGGCAUUUUUAAAAACGUUGUAAAUAUUAUAAAUUGGUGGAAGUAGAUAGUUAUGCUGAAUGGCCUAAUAGUGUUGGACGUUGUUUUAACUAAAAACAAUUAAUUAGUUACGAAUUUGUCUAUUGUUUAAUGCAAAAUACAGAAAAAAAACGUUACUUUGUUAAGACUUAUUUAUUUAUUCUUUUUUUAGAAGGCAUAAGAUUUCUAAUAUAUUUUUAUGUAAUAACUGUCUAUGUAUAGUAAUUCGUGUAAUUUAAUGAGAAGUUCAUAUUUUGUUGAACAUUGUCUUUUUCUUUAACUUAUUUAUUAUUUAAUUCUAGAUAAAACACGUCCAAAGAUAGGUUAUGAAACACGUAUUAAUAAAUAGCUUCGUUGCUUUUUUAGAAGUUAUCAGUCAUUGAUCUCUUUUAUGAGGGGUUUGUCACAGCAGUAAUUUAAACAUCGUUAGAUUUAUUUUGACAGUCGUGAACAUCAACAGGCUUUUCUUUGAUAAUGUAGCGAAGCGGUCGCGAUUUAAGAACUAAUGUUACAUUGUCUACGGUCAUACAUUAUAUUAUUCAUUUACAAUGAGUAUAUUUUAUGGGAAAUUUUAAAAUGAAAAAACCUAUGACAUACCUACCUUCAGAUCAGAGAUCAAUGACACAACCAAAAUUUUAAAAUCACUGUUGACUAUUUAUUUGUAGUUAUGUGUGUGGAAAAUAAAAAUUUCAUUAACACUUUAUAUCGUAGCUCCCAGAUUUAAAAUAAAUAUGGGUCUAUCACACCACACUUGAAAUAAUUAAAUAAAUAUUUAUUUUAAUUCGUAUUCAUCCAAAAUUGCAUAAACAAAAAAGUUUAUUCAUAAUUAUUUUUAAAUCUGGGUGUUGUUAUUCAAAAAUGCCCCUUAUUAUGUUAGUUAAAUACACUUACGAAAUACGUAUAAACUGUACAAAUUUUACGAAGUUGUUUUAUUAUUUUGAAGGGGAGAUCCCCUCCCAAACAGGGUAUCGUGUUUAUUUAAAUUAUCAUUUUAAUAAUGUCACAGUUCGAUAUUGACUUUGGACAAUAUUCUAUAAAUUAUUUAUGCCCUUAUUCGUAAACUUAUUUUAAAUCAUAACUAAAUUACUAUUGUGAUUGUAUUUAUUUUGUCCUUAAAUUAAAAUUGUGUCACCGCAUUACUUAUUUUGAAUAAGCAUUAAAUGUUUAUUAGAAAAUUAACUAAACUAUUAGGUAGAAAAAGAAAAUUUGUUCAUGAAUAAGGGCGGAUGUAAAUAAAUGUAAGAAAUUUGUAUGACCCUUAGUGUAAGUUUUUAUUUGUGUAAUAAAUAUUACAUUUGCUGUGCAUACUGCCGUUUAUGGAUAAGAUCCAGUCAAGACUUUUAUUGUGAGAUUUCUUAAAUUAAAUAAAAAGGAUCGUUGUGUAAA